GCCUAUGGCCAUACUACCCUGAACACGCCCGAUCCCGUCUGAUCUUGGAAGCUAAGCAGGGUCAAGCCUGGUUAGUACUCGGAUGGGAGACCACCGGGGAAUAUUGGGUGCUGUAGGCU